GAUGACGAGUCCCGAAUAGAACGAAACGCGCGUCC
rnacentral:hammerhead_ribozyme from 1 species